UACGGAGGGGGCUAGCGUUGUUCGGAAUUACUGGGCGUAAAGCGCACGUAGGCGGCUUUGUAAGUUAGAGGUGAAAGCCUGAUGCUCAACAUCAGAAUUGCCUUUAAGACUGCAUCGCUUGAACGUCGGAGAGGUAAGUGGAAUUCCGAGUGUAGAGGUGAAAUUCGUAGAUAUUCGGAAGAACACCAGUGGCGAAGGCGGCUUACUGGACGACUGUUGACGCUGAGGUGCGAAAGCGUGGGGAGCAAACAGG
rnacentral:rRNA from 1 species